GGACGGGUGAGUAAUGUCUGGGAAACUGCCUGAUGGAGGGGGGUAACUACUGGAAACGGUAGCUAAUACCGCAUAACGUCGCAAGACCAAAGAGGGGACCUUCGGGCCUCUUGCCAUCGGAUGUGCCCAGAUGGGAUUAGCUAGUAGGUGGGGUAACGGCUCACCUAGGCGACGAUCCCUAGCUGGUCUGAGAGGAUGACCAGCCACACUGGAACUGAGACACGGUCCAG
rnacentral:rRNA from 1 species